GGGUGGUGAUGGCUAUUUUAAAUAGGAUGAUGGGAGAAGGUCUAUCUGCAGAUGUGGCAUUUGAGCACAGACCUGAUUUUAGAGGAGCAAGAAGAAGAAUAGAUGGAGGAAUAUCAUUCCAGGCAGAAGUUACAGCAAAUAGAAAGACCCUGAGGCAGGAAUGAAUUUGGAUUGUCCAUGUUCAAGUGAUUACAGGAAGACUGGAGUAGAGUGAGCGAAGAGGAGAAUGUAAAGAGAUGAGGACAGAAAGAUGGGCAGAGACUUCUUCAGUCAUAGAUAUAGUUUGAAUGGAAACUCACACAUGAAAAAAACCUUGCGAUAAACUCAUGGACACACAAUACUCUUUCCAUGGACUACUAGAAAAAUGAAGUCCUCCACUGGGAGACAUGCCCUACAGCUCUACUCCUGCCAUUGCCUAAUGAACUCAUGAACAAAGUGGCCAUGGCGGCAGAGAUGGAGGUUAUGCGUGGGCUCAGCAACAUGGACUUACACUCACCCAGGCUGACCUCAGCCCCUGCUGAGUGCCCCAUCUGUCAGCACCAGAAACUACUGAGUCUCUGAUAGGCACCAUCCCCAGGGUCAUCAGCCAGCUGUCUGGUGUCAGGCUGAUUAUAUUGGACUGCUUUCAUCACGGAAGGGGCAGUGUUUUAUUCUUAAUGGAAUAGACACUUACUUUGGGUAUGGAUUUUUCUUCUCUGCACAAAAUGCUUCUAGCAAAACUAUCAUCCAGAGGCUUACAGGAUCCCUUAUCCACCAUCACGGUUUUGUACGCAGCCUUGCUUCUGACCAAGGAACUCACUUCAUUGCAAAUAAAGUGUGGCAAUGGGCCCAUGCCCGGAAUUCACCGGUCUAACCAUGUUCUUCAUCAUCCUGAAGCAACUGGUUUGCCAGAACGGUAGAAUGGCCUUUUGAAGAUGCAAUUAUAGCAUCAGCUAAGUGGGAAUUCAGCCGGCCUUCCAUAUCCAUUGGUUCAACAUUCAUGGAUUCAAUGAGCUGUGGAUACAAGAUAUUCAAAACAAAUUCCCAAAAGUUCCAAAAAGCAAAACUUGAAUUUUCCAUGCCAGAAACUAUUUACAUAACAUUUGGAUUGUAUUUACAACUAUUUUCAUAGUAUUUACAUUGUAGUAGGUAUUAUAAGUAAUUUAGAGAUGAUUUAAAAUAUACAAGAGGAUUUGUGUAGGUUACAUUCAAAUACUAUGCCAUUAUAUAUAAGGGACUUGAGCAUCUGUGGAUUUUGAUAUCUGCAGGGGUCAUGGAACCAAUCCUCUGCAGAUACCAAGGGACAAGUGUAACUUGCAGGACUAAGCAAAGCCCUCCAGGAGGCUGUAUGUGCUCUAAGUCAGCAUUCAAUAUAUGGUGCUGGUUCUCCCUUAGCCAAUAUUCAUAAACCCAGGAAUGGAAAUGGGAAUGGCUCCUCUCACUAUUACCUCUGGUGAUACACUAGCAAAGUGUUUGCUUUGCAUCCCUGUGACUUAAGGCUCUGUUGGUCUAGAGGCCCUAGUUCCAAAUAGAGGAAUGCUUUCACCAGGGAACCCAACAACGAUUCCUCAGAAUUGGAAGUUGAGACUGUUGCCUGGCCACUCUGGGUGCCUCCUGCCACUGAAUAAGCAGGCAGGCAACGGGGGUGGUUUACUCUGGCUGGGGUGAUUAGUCCUGAUCACCAAGGGGAAAUUGGGUUGCUACUACCACACAAUGUGGGUAAGGAGGAGAGUGUCUGGAAUACAGCAGAUCCUCUAAAGUACCUCUUGGUGCUCCCACAUCCUAUGAUUAAAGUUAGUGGAAAACUACAACAGCUUAAUUCAGACAGGGCUCUAAUAGCCCAGACCCUUUAGGAAUGAAGUUUUGGGUCACUCCAUCAGGUAAAGAACCAAAGGAAAUGAGGUGCUUGUUGAGGACAAAGGAAAUAGUUUUAACUAUCCACUAUGACCACAUGACCAUUGCAGAAAUGAGGACUAUAUGACUUAUGAGUAUUUCUUCCUUAUUUUAAUAUUUUUAUUCAAUAGUUUAAUUAUAUAUAUAAUGUAAUAAUACUUUCAUUUCUUUUCCUCUGACACCCCCUUAUCAUCUAACAUAAGACCUGUUAAUGAUUGUUAACUUUAUAUCAUAUUUGAGUUACAUGACACAAAACAGGAAGUAUGUAUCAACAGGGGGAAGAAUGAAAAUCAACCAAAGACACUAAAGAAACUCCGUCCUCUCCUGGGAAAAGGAGUAGCACGUUUUCAGUUUUAUGUAGCAUAGUCUUUAUUCGGCAAUUAAGUAUGGUUCAAGGAGAUGUACUUGAGUUCAAAGUCAACAAGAAUGGACUGUGGUAGCUUUGUAGUGUGUCAGUUAGGCUAAGUUCAACUACAUUUCCCAGAAUCCAUUCUCUUGUUUCUGGUCAGGUUGGGCCACAAGUGUAUUCCACACCAAUUGUAUCAAUUGUCUACCGUUGUAACUCAAUCCUUAAUAUACCUAUGGUUGGCAGAAAAAUGGUGACCCAAGGAUGUCCAUAUUCUAAUUCUUGGAAUCUGUAAUAUGUUAUAUUACAUAGCAAAGGAGAAUUAAGGCUGCAGAUAGAAUUAAGUUGCUAAUCAGGUGACCUGAAAAUAGGGAGAUUAUCCUAGAUUAUCAGGGUGGGUUUGAUGUUAUCACAAGGGUUCUUUAAAGUGAAAGUCGGAGGCAGAAGAUGAAUCACUGUCAGGGUGAUUUGAUAUGAGAAAAACUUGACCAGACAUUGCUGGCUUUGAAGGUAGAGGGGACCACGAGUCAAGGAAUGUGGGUGACCUCUAGAAACUGGAAAAGGCUAGAAUAUGGAUUAUCCUCUAGAGCCUCCAGGAGGGAACUCAGCCCUGCUGACACCCUGAUUUUAGCCCAGUGAGACCCAUGUUGGAUUUCUGAACUGCAGACCCAUGAGAAAAUAAUAGUGCUGUUUCAAGCCACUAAAUUUGUGGAACUUUGUUACAGCAGCAAUAGGAACCUAAUACAGUAUACUUUAUUGAUAGUCCUCCAUUCCGUGCCUCACUAUUCAGAUAAACUAACUGUACCCACAUCCUUGUCUCAGGUCUGCUUUCAGGAAAUCUAAACUAAGAUACUCCCCCUCCUCAACGAAUUCUACUAAAAUGACCAAGGAUAUGUAAAAAUAGGAUGUAAUCUGUAUAAUGAUUGGGAAAUAGGAUAGAUAUUAUUAGUAACAGGCCAAAAAGGCAUUGUGCAAAUUGGCUCAGAUUGAGGGAAGUAUAAAUACCAUAAAUACCACACAUUCCAACAAAAUUGACUAGCAAGUAAAAGAAGUAAGCAAUUACUAUUACUGUUACUCCACAGAACCAGGAAAAUCUCCUCCUCUGAGAAGGAGAGGAUAUAAAAAAGGGGCUUCCAGGAUAAAGUAGGUGUGAUGAAAGUCAAAGUACACAAGGAUUCGUUCGAAAAUUCUUCAGAAAGAUCAGCGAAAUGUAGCAUUCAUUCUCAGCUUUCUCUUGGUGCAAACAAAAGAAAGUAAAAAUGCUAUUAUAUGUAUUUUUUAUGUAUUCUUAUAUGGAUGAAUCUCUCAGAAGGAGAAGGUUGGGCUCCUACAACCUACCCACAAAAAUUAAAACAAAAUAA